UAACCUGCCCAAGAGAUCGGGAUAACACCUGGAAACAGAUGCUAAUACCGGAUAAUAACAGAUGAUGCCUAUCAACUGUUUAAAAGAUGGUUCUACUAUCACUCUUGGAUGGACCUGCGGUGCAUUAGCUAGUUGGUAGGGUAACGGCCUACCAAGGCGAUGAUGCAUAGCCGAGUUGAGAGACUGAUCGGCCACAUUGGGACUGAGACACGGCCCAAACUCCUACGGGAGGCAGCAGAU
rnacentral:rRNA from 1 species